GUUGCUGUCCGCCAGCCGGACUCUCGCCUGGAGUUCCGCCGAUUUUGCUACAUGUGGCUGCGAGCAGGGCCAGAGGAGAUGGCUGCGCAUCCUAUCCACAGACAAAACGGACAGCCAAUGUGGGCGGGUUUUACGAUGACUGCAACUGGAAGUUCAUUUAACAUCAAAGAUCCUCGCCGAGACGCAGCUUGUUACUUGAGAGGGAUGGCGAUAAUCCCACGGAUGUAAACUAACAAAGAAAUCAUGGGAAUUUCGUUACGACAGAACAGCGUGCUACAGCCGGGUACACAGCACUGUUAUGAGGCUCCCGCGGUGUUAUACAAGCUUCAGAAAGAACAAAUUUGUUAUCCUACACCCGAGGGCAUCUGCUGACGGAUGUUUUCUUCUGAGUGGACGUGAGGAAGCGAGUAUUCAACAGAAGGUGGUGAAACUCAGACGAAUACGUCAUAGGCCAAGCAUUGCUCAGCAACACACCUAUCAGCUUUUGAGCAAUAAAAAGUCUGGGCGGAUCACGCACGGAGGUGAAUCAAGGCUGUUUCGAGAAGCCGCAUGCCUGGGCAGGUGUACUGACGAAUAGGAAACGACAGCCCAGGACAAAUGAAUGCCUGAGCGCGCAUGAAAGUAAUUACAGCAUAAAUAAUAUUCAUGAUUCUUGUGUAAAUUAUUAUCAACAUCAAGUCGUCAUAAAUGAUAUUCACAUUUCCCAGGCAUUGUCACGAGAUGUACUCUUUAUUGUAACUCAAAGUCGCCAACCAUUCGGCUUGUGGUUGCCAGCAGACUCUAGGUGACAGUUUGUUUUGCACCCUGGCCUAGAUUUCUUUGCCUUUUUAUAUAUGGAUAUAUGUUCUAAGAAAAGGCAAAGCACUGCUUGUAUUCAGAUGUUGAGGCAAUGGAUUUUAUUUUAAAUGUGCAUUUGAUGCCACGACACGUAGCAGAAUAGUCAAAACCAAACUCGAAUUGCCCUUCUUACAGUCUAUAAUAAUGCUUAAUUUAGGGGGCAUUUCAAAACUCCAUAUUAUUAAAAUCAUGGUGCCGUAUCAAUUACAGUAUAGGUCUAGCAGAGUCUUGGGUUCAAAUCUUGUGAGGGACAUUGCUGUUAUACCCUUGAGACAGGUAUUUAACCUGAAUUAAUUCACUAUCCAGCCGUAUAAAUAAUAUGCAAUAAUAUCUAAGCUUUGUAAGUCACCAAGGGUAAGGACAUAUCCUAAGCAAGUAAAUAGAUUUAUGCACGUCUUACUUAAUCACAUGCAAAGUAGAGUGUGUCUGUGCUUUGGCUUGAGUCUCUGCAUUGUGAAAUGAAGAUGUCAUUCCUGUUCAGUCUCUCCUGGCUGUGCAAUAAGAUUUACUGCUGUAUCCAUGAAUGAUUUUUGGCAGCAGAUACUACACUCCUUGAAAGGUGUGUUUUUGUCAAAACACCAGCCUUGUACUCAUAUUGACUCAACUUGUGUCAAGCAUGUUGAUUCAGAUUAUAUCUACAAGAAAAUGUCACGAAAACUGAUUGGCUCGAAUGAUAUUCUGUUAUUUUGCUGUUUUAUAGCGGGGAAAAUAAAUGUUUAAAUGCAGAGGGAAGUGAAUUUAUGUAUGCUGUGGCAUGCCGAAUUAGCAAAUUUUGCAUCUGGAAAUAAUUUAUGACCAUACUGACUUUAUUUCUGAACGGUGGAAAUAUGCAAGUUCAACAAACAAAUCAUCUAUAUACAGUUAAACUCCUGCACAUUGUAUUUGAAAUAAAACAAUGAAUAUGAGAUUAAAGUGCAGACUGCCAGCUUUAAUUUGAGGCUAUUACCUCCAUAUUGGGUGAUUAGAAAUUGUAGCCUUUUUUAAACAUAUUAUAAAAGUAACGAGACAAAUUAACAUUUUGACAUACCAUAUGUUUUUGCUAUGUCCCUUAUUAGUUUAUUAUUUUCAGAUUUUCCAUUUUCAGCUUCAUGAUGGCCUGCUUUACUGGAAUUAACACUUAUUUGGUCUUCGUGUUGAGAGACAUCAGCAACGGACACAAUGUGCUAAUUCAACACCUAGAAUCAACUCUAGACAUUUUGUUAGCUUCCUUGUGCAUGAAAUAAUGAUGCAGAGACACACACUAGCAAAGAAACUGCUGAGCAGCCAACAGUCCCAUUACUUUUUCUCCCCUUUAAUGGGGGACUAUGUACAAAAAGGGCUUUAUUUCCUACUCAGAUGCACCCAAUUUGGUUGUAAGCACCCUCAGAUUAGAGCUCAUAGCCUGCACUUUAAACUCAUAGUCUUUGUUUUAAUUCAUAUGCAGUGCGCUGGAGUACAGAGCCAAGACAACAAAAAUCCUGUCACUGUCCCAAUACGUCUGCAUUUAACUGUGUAUGUCUAAACCACAACCCGUGCAGCCCAUACACAGGGGAGAGAUCACACUACAGGGAUCAAGAAGAGUCACCUGUUAUCCACUCUAUAGUUCAACCGUCAAUCCUCAGGAGCAAACAUUCUUUUGAUGGGUACAAGCAUCACAAUCGAACAAGGUUUACUUAACCACUGCUGUGAUCCGUAUCCUGUAAAUACAGGCACAACCCUCAGGAGAGAGACUGAGACUGCCCUCCCAGUGGCUUACAUGGUGUGCUUAUGCAGAGCACUAGUUCAUGCAAUCAAUUAAGGGAUUUUGUCUGGGGAGAAUUUGAUUAAGUGAAUAUGCACGUUCAUGUUAAAUAAUCAGCAUAAAAAUUUCAUUCACAAGGGCAUACUGGUGCCCUGUUCCUUGCAGUUGCUGAAAUUAAUGUGUUGCCUAUAAAUAAUAAUAAUAAAAACAUUUUGUCACUCAAUGUAAGGAUGAAGUGCCUACAUGGUUAGAUUGAAUGAGUGAUAUAUGUUUUCCACAGUCAUAUGUGGUGAUUUAGUAUUUUAUCUAUCAUUUAAUAUUGCAGGUCUGUUACAGCUGAUUGUAUAUCCGACUAAAAUUUUUCACUACACAAAUUUAGCAAGACUGGAAAGUGUUGCAACAACUCUGCUAUGCUGCCUCCAUUCAAAGUCAUUUCCGGAUGUCACUUAUUGACUCUGUAUUAUGUAUGAGGAAUUAAAACAUUGCUCUUGGGCAAUUCUCAAGGACUGAAGAAACUGUGGUAACAAUGUGUUAAAGGAUGGGACUCCAGGCAUCCCUCAGGAAUGUGCAGGAUGUGAAAUAUUUGCACAUUUCCCCCCACAGAAAGCCACAUUUGUAUUUUAUGCUCAUAUAUUGAGGUUCCAUCUUGAGUACGUUUGAUACAAAUGAUAGCCAAACUUACCAGUUGUACUCAUCCAUUCAAUUUAGCUGGCCUUUUUCUCAUCUCCACUUCAGAAUCAAAAUGUGCCUUAAAAAGGGCAAAUGUUAAAACAUAGUACUUGCAGUAUGUGACAGCUGAAUGCUGGGAGGUACGGUCUACUUAGAACCAAUCAGCAGUGGUGAGACUUUGGCGUUUCAUAUGGAUAU